rnacentral:rRNA from 1 species
GCAGGCGAGAAACCUCAGCAAUGCGGGAAACCGUGACUGGGCCAUCCCGAGUGCCAGCCGCUAAGGUUGGCUUUUACCCAGUGUAGUGAUCUGGGAGAAUAAGCGGGGGGCAAGACUGGUGUCAGCCGCCGCGGUAAUACCAGCUCCGCGAGUGGUCGGGACGAUUAUUGAGCCUAAAGCGCUCGUAGCCCGCCCGGCUAGUUCUGUGAUAAAUCCGACGGCUUAACCGUCGGGCUCCAUGGAAUACUGCUGGGCUAGGGAGCGGAAGAGGCCAGGGGUACUCCCGGGGUAGGGGCGAAAUCCUAUAAUCCCGGGAGGACGACCAGUGGCGAAGGCGCCUGGCUAGGACGCGUCCGACGGUGAGGGGCGAAAGCUGGGGGAGCGAACCGGAUUAGAUACCCCCGUAGUCC